GCCUCUCAAACGCUGCACAUCUCACCUGUCAGCGCUGAUGACGUGACCAUUGUGACACGGGCUCAUGUACAGCAGCAGGUGAGUUCCUCUGAACAGUCACGGAGAACUCUUUGUGGUUUUUGGCUCAAUAAGCUGAGCGGUUGUAGGAGUCUGGGAGGUCUAAACUGCCCCACCACCAAUGAUCUCCUGCGCUUCUGCACUCUGAGGAGAUUUCAGCAGGUGUGACAGAGCAAGUGGGAUGCUGCAAAUUUGUGAAAAAAGAACCCCCCAAAAAACGAAACAACAAUAAUGUAACAUAUGUAACAAAUUUUGUAAAUAAUUUCAUGAUUUAUAAGUUUAUGUUUUGUGCAUCAACAAAUGUUUAUGUAUCAAAAGGUUUUGUUUCAGGAUAUUCUUUUUUUA